CCGUGAAAUAGUUCCUAACAGAGUAGAAGCCUCUUGUUACUAUCAAAGGCCUCUCUGUUCCAUAUUCUGCACUCAGAACCAUACAUAUCCUAUUCAGUCAUCUCAAGAACUCUGUGAGUUAAGCAUUGCCGCAUUUUGUAGAUGGGAAAACCGUAGGGAAAGUAAAGGAGCUCCUGCAAAUCACACCUUCAGUAGUCAAUGGCGAUGAAACUUGAGGACCUGAUUCAAUUCGCCAAAUGAUCUCCAUUCACCAAAAGAGAAAACGGAAGCAAAGAGAGGAUAUUCCAGAAACAAGUCUCUGGGGAUGUGAUAUUUACAGAGAUGACAAUGAGCAAGCCUUCUCCAGACAAAGAGUUACAAGACAAAGUUCUGAAGCCAAACAGAGCUUGGCAUGUGAGUGAAACCAAAGAGUUCAAUAUGGCUGGAGAAAAGUCUCAGCGGAGAGGAACUGGAGAUAAAGAUGAGUGAAAACAAAGGUAAUGCAAAGCUCUCUAGACACAGUAAGAGGUUCAGACCUCAUGAAAAGCAACAGAAGUCAUGCAAAGGCUUUACAUCUGGAAGUUACAAAAUCUAAUCCCCAUUUUAGACAACCAUGCUCUUCUGCUUUGGGGAGAGUAAGGCUGUAGGGAGACAAGAAUGAAAAUGAAUAACCCAUGUGAAAGGCAAUUCUGCCAAUCCAGAGGGACACUGCCUAUGAUGCUGAGGAGAAGUGGGUAGAUUCAGGCUAUAUUUUGAAGGAAGUCUUCACAGGAAUUGAUACGGACAAGAGGCAGGGAAAAUACUGGGUAGAAGAGGGCGGUUCCCGACAAAGGCCCCACCCUUAAGCCUGGAAUCCGGGUCCCUAAAGGAGAAGACUUAUCCCUGUUUUCCUGCCCAAAUGUUACUUUUUUGACCUUCCACCCCGCGCCCAUCCUGUGCCCAUAUAAACCCGACAUCAGCCGGCAGAGAGACAAGCGGCUGCCAUGGAGAGAAAAAGCAACUGAGCAUUGGAAACUACAGACAGUCUCAACUUAACUUCAGACAGCACUUCAGAAUGGAGUCUGGCCCGAGAAGGCCAGGCUUCAGGGAAAGGUCACCUCCUCCCCACACCAUAGCCUUUCCAGCUCCCCUUCCACUGACAGCCAUUUCCACCGCUUAAUAAAAUCCUCCGCAUUCAUCACCUUUCAAACCAAUCAUUCGACCUAAUUCUUCCUGGACGCCGAACAAGAACCCGGAUACCAAGAGGGCAAGGUGUAAAACCAAGAGGGCAAGGGGUAAAAGGCUGUCGCCUCGUCUCCUCACCGAGCUGGUUAACACUUAGCCGUCAGUGGAUGGCA
rnacentral:lncRNA from 1 species